UCUUCUCUCUGGCGGCGUGCCUAAUACAUGCAAGUCGAGCGAACGGACGAGAAGCUUGCUUUUCUGAUGUUAGCGGCGGACGGGUGAGUAACACGUGGAUAACCUACCUAUAAGACUGGGAUAACUUCGGGAAACCGGAGCUAAUACCGGAUAAUAUUUUGAACCGCAUGGUUCAAAAGUGAAAGACGGUCUUGCUGUCACUUAUAGAUGGAUCCGCGCUGCAUUAGCUAGUUGGUAAGGUAACGGCUUACCAAGGCAACGAUGCAUAGCCGACCUGAGAGGGUGAUCGGCCACACUGGAACUGAGACACGGUCCAGACUCCUACGGGAGGCAGCAGUAGGGAAUCUUCCGCAAUGGGCGAAAGCCUGACGGAGCAACGCCGCGUGAGUGAUGAAGGUCUUCGGAUCGUAAAACUCUGUUAUUAGGGAAGAACAUAUGUGUAAGUAACUGUGCACAUCUUGACGGUACCUAAUCAGAAAGCCACGGCUAACUACGUG
rnacentral:rRNA from 1 species